rnacentral:rRNA from 1 species
UACGAAGGGGGCUAGCGUUGCUCGGAAUCACUGGGCGUAAAGCGCACGUAGGCGGCUUGUUAAGUCAGGGGUGAAAUCCUGGAGCUCAACUCCAGAACUGCCUUUGAUACUGAGGAUCUUGAGUUCGGGAGAGGUGAGUGGAACUGCGAGUGUAGAGGUGAAAUUCGUAGAUAUUCGCAAGAACACCAGUGGCGAAGGCGGCUCACUGGCCCGAUACUGACGCUGAGGCGCGAAAGCGUGGGGAGCAAACAGG